rfam:Triticum urartu cultivar G1812 contig273304, whole genome shotgun sequence.
UUUAUACUCCCUCCGUUCCGAAUUAUUCGUCACAGAAAUGAAUGUAUUUAGAUGUAUUUUAGUUUUUUUGAAUGAAAUGUAUUUUAGUUUUAGAUGCAUCAAUUUCUGCGACGAGUAAUUUAGAACGGAGGGAGUAAAAA